UGGAUGGCUCAGCACAAACAUGCAACUAUCAAUCAAUGCUUAGCACUUGUAACUCCAGGGAAAUAACUUCUUGUUUAAGGAUCCUGGAGUGAGUCAACCACAGAUGCUUCUUGAGAACUAAGCAAUCACCUAUCAAAAUUAUUUCCUUCGCCUCUCCCAGCAAUAUCUAGUAGGAUCUCUCCUUGAAAUGAGAAGGAGGAGGAAAAUGAG